GAGGGUAUAGCUCAGUGGUAGAGCGUGUGCCCAGCAUGCACAAGGUUCUGGGUUCAGUCCCCAGUACCUCCA
rnacentral:tRNA from 1 species